AUUGAACGCUGGCGGCAGGCCUAACACAUGCAAGUCGAACGGUAACAGGAAGAAGCUUGCUUCUUUGCUGACGAGUGGCGGACGGGUGAGUAAUGUCUGGGAAACUGCCUGAUGGAGGGGGAUAACUACUGGAAACGGUAGCUAAUACCGCAUAACGUCGCAAGACCAAAGAGGGGGACCUUCGGGCCUCUUGCCAUCGGAUGUGCCCAGAUGGGAUUAGCUUGUUGGUGGGGUAACGGCUCACCAAGGCGACGAUCCCUAGCUGGUCUGAGAGGAUGACCAGCCACACUGGAACUGAGACACGGUCCAGACUCCUACGGGAGGCAGCAGUGGGGAAUAUUGCACAAUGGGCGCAAGCCUGAUGCAGCCAUGCCGCGUGUAUGAAGAAGGCCUUCGGGUUGUAAAGUACUUUCAGCGGGGAGGAAGGGAGUAAAGUUAAUACCUUUGCUCAUUGACGUUACCCGCAGAAGAAGCACCGGCUAACUCCGUGCCAGCAGCCGCGGUAAUACGGAGGGUGCAAGCGUUAAUCGGAAUUACUGGGCGUAAAGCGCACGCAGGCGGUUUGUUAAGUCAGAUGUGAAAUCCCCGGGCUCAACCUGGGAACUGCAUCUGAUACUGGCAAGCUUGAGUCUCGUAGAGGGGGGUAGAAUUCCAGGUGUAGCGGUGAAAUGCGUAGAGAUCUGGAGGAAUACCGGUGGCGAAGGCGGCCCCCUGGACGAAGACUGACGCUCAGGUGCGAAAGCGUGGGGAGCAAACAGGAUUAGAUACCCUGGUAGUCCACGCCGUAAACGAUGUCGACUUGGAGGUUGUGCCCUUGAGGCGUGGCUUCCGGAGCUAACGCGUUAAGUCGACUGCCUGGGGAGUACGGCCGCAAGGUUAAAACUCAAAUGAAUUGACGGGGGCCCGCACAAGCGGUGGAGCAUGUGGUUUAAUUCGAUGCAACGCGAAGAACCUUACCUGGUCUUGACAUCCACGGAAGUUUUCAGAGAUGAGAAUGUGCCUUCGGGAACCGUGAGACAGGUGCUGCAUGGCUGUCGUCAGCUCGUGUUGUGAAAUGUUGGGUUAAGUCCCGCAACGAGCGCAACCCUUAUCCUUUGUUGCCAGCGGUCCGGCCGGGAACUCAAAGGAGACUGCCAGUGAUAAACUGGAGGAAGGUGGGGAUGACGUCAAGUCAUCAUGGCCCUUACGGCCAGGGCUACACACGUGCUACAAUGGCGCAUACAAAGAGAAGCGACCUCGCGAGAGCAAGCGGACCUCAUAAAGUGCGUCGUAGUCCGGAUUGGAGUCUGCAACUCGACUCCAUGAAGUCGGAAUCGCUAGUAAUCGUGGAUCAGAAUGCCACGGUGAAUACGUUCCCGGGCCUUGUACACACCGCCCGUCACACCAUGGGAGUGGGUUGCAAAAGAAGUAGGUAGCUUAACCUUCGGGAGGGCGCUUACCACUUUGUGAUUCAUGACUGGGGUGAA
rnacentral:rRNA from 1 species